rnacentral:rRNA from 1 species
ACCGAGCUUGGGGGUUCCUCGCGGUUCCCGCCACUCACCAUCCUGUGACGAACGACGAAGACGAUUGCUUCGGCGGGUAACCCCGCCGGCAGUACCCCCCUAAUCCGCUAUUUUGGUGUCGUCUGAGCAAAAUUAAGAAUACGCAAAACUUUCAACAACGGAUCUCUUGGUUCUGGCAUCGAUGAAGAACGCAGCGAAAUGCGAUAAGUAAUGCGAAUUGCAGAAUUCAGUGAGUCAUCGAAUUUUUGAACGCACAUUGCGCCCUCCGGCACUCCGGGGGGCAUGCCUGUCCGAGCGUCGUUUCCACCGCCAAACGUUGGCUGGCCACGAGCCUGGUGCUCGACGAUGGGCCGCAUCGCCUCCGGGCGAUCGACCCCAAACCCAGGGUACGGGUGUCGAACCUUCAGCCGCAGUGGAACAUUCCGGCUUGGAAGGGUCGGUGUCGGUGCCUGGUCUCUCUGAGACGGCGUGUCGCAGCGAUGCGGCGCCGGCGGGGUGCCCGCAGCACUCCAGCAUCCGACCUCGGAUCAGGUAGGGAUACCCGCUGAACUUAA